rnacentral:lncRNA from 1 species
CCUUACUCCAGAUCAAUCUGGGGGCUGCUUUAGCUGUGACUGUGAAUUAACUGCUCAGAGCUGCUGAAAAGGAAGAGCCAGUCCAGGAGCCACUGGGGCAUGGACUUGCUUCCCAGGGGGUCAGGACACAUGUCAGGACCCAGGGAGUCUUGGCACUUGUGCCAAAGUGUUAGUACUGAGCAGAGGACCGAGGGCAGGACUACUGAUCUGGGUGUUGGGUCCUGUGGACAGAUGCUUCUAGCAGAAUGCAGAAAUGGCCCCACUGCUGUGAUUUGGAUAUGGUCUGAGUGUUCCCCAAGGGCUCAUGUGCUAAAAUUUCAUCUGCACUGUGAGGUACUGAGGGGGAAACUAAUCUCAUGGCGUUUGGGAAUGGGGCUUCAGGAGGUGAUUAAGAUUAAAUAAGAUCAUCAAGGAGGAGCCCCUACAAAUCCUGUGGCUUCAUAAGAAGAGGGACAGAGACCAGAGGAGACACACAUAGCCUGUAUCUCUUGCCAUGAGAUGCCUUGCACUACCUUGGGACUGUGCCAGCAAGAAGGCAUUGCGAGACAUGGCCUGUUGAGCCUCCAGAACUCAGAGUCAAAACAAACCUCUGUUCUUUCUAACUCACCC